rnacentral:misc_RNA from 1 species
GAUGAAGAACGUAGCGAAAUGCGAUAAGUAAUGUGAAUUGCAGAAUUCAGUGAAUCAUCGAAUUUUUGAACGCACCUUGCGCCCCUUGGUAUUCCGAGGAGCAUGCCUGUUUGAGUGUCAGUAAAUUCUCAAACCCUUCCAGCUUUUUGUAGUUGGCUCUGGGUCUUGGAUGUGGAGGUGUUGCAGGCCUUUUUGAGGUCAGCUCCCCUGAAAUGCAUUAGCAGAACCGUUUGCAAUCCAUCACAGGUGUGAUAAUUAUCUACGCCAGUGGGUAGCUCUCUGUCACUGUUCAGCUUACAAUUGUCCCAUUCUUGUGGACCAACUAUUGCUGAUUCUUUGACCUCAAAUCAGGUAGGACUACCCGCUGAACUUAAGCAUAUCAAUAAGCGGAGGA